AGGGUUUGAUUCUGGCUCAGGACGAACGCUGGCGGCGUGCUUAAUACAUGCAAGUCGAACGGAGUUAAGGGUUUCGGCCUUUAACUUAGUGGCGAACGGGUGAGUAACGCGUGAAUAACCUGACUCAAAGAGGGGGAUAACAACGGGAAACUGUUGCUAAUACCGCAUGAGACCACAACACCGCAUGAUGAAGGGGUCAAAGAUUUAUCGCUUUGAGAGGGGUUCGCGUCCCAUUAGGUAGUUGGAGGGGUAACGGCCCACCAAGCCAACGAUGGGUAGCCGAGCUGAGAGGCUGAUCGGCCACACUGGAACUGAGACACGGUCCAG
rnacentral:rRNA from 1 species